UGGGCCUCAAAUAAUGUGUGACUACCCCCU
rnacentral:rRNA from 10 species